UACGUAGGGUGCAAGCGUUAAUCGGAAUUACUGGGCGUAAAGCGUGCGCAGGCGGUUAUGUAAGACAGAUGUGAAAUGCCCGGGCUUAACCUGGGAACUGCAUUUGUGACUGCAUGGCUAGAGUGUGUCAGAGGGGGGUAGAAUUCCACGUGUAGCAGUGAAAUGCGUAGAUAUGUGGAGGAAUACCGAUGGCGAAGGCAGCCCCCCUGGGAUAACACUGACGCUCAUGCACGAAAGCGUGGGGGAGCAAACAGG
rnacentral:rRNA from 1 species